UACGUAGGGGGCAAGCGUUGUCCGGAUUUAUUGGGCGUAAAGAGCGUGUAGGCGGUUUGGUAGGUCCGCUGUGAAAACUCGAGGCUCAACCUCGAGACGCCGGUGGAAACCAUCAGGCUAGAGUCCGGAAGAGGAGAGUGGAAUUCCUGGUGUAGCGGUGAAAUGCGUAGAUAUCGAGAGGAACACCUGCGGCGAAGGCGGGUUGCUGGGCCGACACUGACGCUGAUGCGCGAAAGCCAGGGGAGCGAACGGG
rnacentral:rRNA from 1 species